UGGACCAAAGAGUUCCAGUGUGGAGGAGAUGAGUCUGCUCUCCUGGACUGUAGAAGCUCAGGCUCAGAUAGAAACACCUCCUCACCUGGCAGAGCUGUUGGACUCACCUGCUCAGAGCCUGUCAGGUUGGUGGGAGGAGACAGUCGCUGUGCAGGAACACUGGAGUUGAAACAUGGAGGAGAAUGGAGACCAGUGAGUUAUGGUUACACUGUCUGGUCCCUGAGGGAAGCAGCUGUUGCCUGCAGAGAUCUGGAAUGUGGUUCUGCUGUUUCUGUAAGAGUGAAGUCCUCAUACAGAUCUGUGUGGAGGAUCAGGUCUUGUCUUCAGUCUGGAUCUCUGAGAGAGAACGUCAUAUCAUCAGAUUCCUCUCAAUUCUUGGUGAAUCUCACCUGCUCAGACCUGCCGCUUCAGCCCAACAUCUCUGCAUCCUCCUCCAUGAAC